CGAGCGAGACCUUCGGGUCUAGCGGCGGACGGGUUAGUAACGCGUGGGAACGUGCCCUUCUCUGCGGAAUAGCCACUGGAAACGGUGAGUAAUACCGCAUACGCCCUUCGGGGGAAAGAUUUAUCGGAGAAGGAUCGGCCCGCGUUAGAUUAGAUAGUUGGUGGGGUAACGGCCUACCAAGUCUACGAUCUAUAGCUGGUUUUAGAGGAUGAUCAGCAACACUGGGACUGAGACACGGCCCAG
rnacentral:rRNA from 1 species